rnacentral:rRNA from 1 species
GUCUAGGGCCAUGCCGCCCUGAACACGCUGGUUUUCUAAUCUCGGAAGCUAAGCAGGGUCUGGCUGGUUAGUACUUGGUUAGGAGACCAUCUAGGAAGACCAGGUGCUGAAGGUA